CAGCCGCCACGGGAAUACGAAGGGUGCAAGCGUUACUCGGAAUUACUGGGCGUAAAGCGUGCGUAGGUGGUGGUUUAAGUCCGUUGUGAAAGCCCUGGGCUCAACCUGGGAAUUGCAGUGGAUACUGGGUCACUAGAGUGUGGUAGAGGAUAGUGGAAUUUCCGGUGUAGCAGUGAAAUGCGUAGAGAUUGGAAGGAACAUCUGUGGCGAAGGCGACUAUCUGGGCCAACACUGACACUGAGGCACGAAAGCGUGGGGAGCAAACAGGAUUAGAUACCCCCGUAGUCCCUGUCUCUUAUAC
rnacentral:rRNA from 1 species